GGGAGAGAUAAAGAGGAGGAUGGAUGUGAUGAAAUCGAGAGAUAAUGUACUUUAUUGUUUGGUGCCUUUUASAUUCCUUUUCAGAUCUCUUACUCAGGGCUUGUUAAUGACGUGCCGUAAAUUGUUCUAUGCAGUCCCCUCUCCCAGUGUGAGCAGGCCCUGACAAUAGUUCUGUGUUCACAGUAAUUGCCUCGGCGUGUGUAGCGUCGGCUGGGGCAGUAUGGACGUGUUACCUGAAGUGAUGCAGGGGGGUCCCACUCAUAUGUCUGUAGCUCGCUUAGCCCUCGCCCCCCUCAGCCCCCCAAUGAGCAUACACACAUGUACUCAGUGGGACCCAGACUGGGUCACUUUUACCAAGCAGUACCAUUUAUGUGACAGUUCUGACUGUAUGUGACCUAAUAACAUAAAAUAACAUGACCUAUGAUGUUAUUUAUGUUAUUUUUACACGCCAAGAACCCCGGUAAACCUUGCGGUUUUGAAACUGAGUGAAGCAGGCGUCUUAGACAAACUGAAAAACAAAUGGUGGUACGAUAAGGGCGAGUGUGGACCCAAGGACUCGGGAAGUAAGGUCAGUGUCACGGGCAGAGUGGGGGACCAAACACCCUCACUGUGUGACAGUCAGGCACGCCUCCAGAUUAGCCUGGAGACUAGGAUUAGCCUUAGAAUUAGCAUCAAUUAAAUCUAAAUAAUCAAAUGAUAAUAGUUGAUUGAUUUACUGUUGAAUACCUUUCUAGUUCUAUCACUGCUAGUCUUCUGCCUAUGCCACAUCUGCCUUUAUAAUAUGAUUUUAAAGCAAAAAAUAAUUAUACUACAUCAAUUCUGGAAAAUGUGUUAUGGCCUUCAUAAUAAUGGGCUUAAUCUCAGAAUAGCAUUCAGUUCACUAUUCUCUGGGUUACUCUGGGUAGAAGACAAGUCAAAGUGUGGAGAGGUUCUUUGAAACAUCAUGAGUUUGAUAAAACUACAGAUAAUCUUGGAAUAUUUAAGAUGUCCUUAAACACUACAGAUGUCUUUAGAAGAACACUUGAGGCAUUCUUAGAACAUCAGAGAACUCUUAAGAAUGCCAGUGAAGUUCUUAAAAUCCUAGGGACCUUCACCAAGACUGUCUGAAUAGAAUAGUUUAUCAUCACUCAUCCAAAAGCCUGACCAAUACGAUGACUGAACAUAGUUUAAUUGGUACGGUGUACUAGUCAUCCUCGACUUAAUACUUAAUACUUGUAAGAAUACAUUAAAAUGUUUAUUUACUUUAAUUGUAGUCAUGCAUUAGUAGUAGCUAUGUAGUAGAUGAAGUACUACUGUCAUAGUAGUACUAAUAGAUGUAUUAUAUGCACUUGUAGAUAAUAAGCUUUUAUGAUGGCAGUAGUAGAAAUGCUUACCCUAGCAGACUAGUCAUAGUAGUGGUAGUGGCUGUUGUUGUUAGCAAGUAGUAGAUGUUAUUGUGCUAAAAAAUAAAUAACUAAGACUUAGUCAUAUGAUGUUGAUAAGCUGCCUGUUGUGUCUCACUAGCGCCACUGUCUCUCUCUCUCUCUAAACCUGUGCUCUCCGUCCCCCCUCCCAGGACAAGUCCUCCCAGGCCCUGAGCCUGAGCAACGUGGCUGGGGUCUUCUACAUCCUGGUGGGGGGUCUGGGCCUAGCCAUGCUGGUGGCCCUGGUUGAGUUCUGCUACAAGUCGCGCGCCGAGGCCAAGCGCAUGAAGGUGGACCUUAGCCCCCCUCACUGCCCCAGCCCCUCUCCCAGCACCCAGAAUUUAGCCACUUAUAGAGAGGGGUACAACGUAUACGGCUCCGAGGGGGUCAAGAUAUAGGGCUGCCCUUCACAGAAGCCAUGCGGAACAAGGCUCGGCUGUCAAUCACGGGCAGUGUGGGUGAGAAUGGGCGUGUCUUAACCCCGGACUGCCCUAAGGCCGUCCAUGCUGGCCACUCCCUCAGACACCCAGGGCUUACCCUACCAUCGGGCCUACCCUGAAAACCAAAAACACACACUGUGCCUUAACCACACACACGGCUACGUCAUUACCACCCCGACGCCACACACACAGACACACAGACCAGAGACCGCCAGCAAGCUAACAGCAACAACAGGGAGAGAGGAGGGACAAAUAUGAUGAUCACCAUCACACUAAAAUCCUAACUUGAGCUCCAUGAAACAAGGACAACAAGGUGCCAAACUGACAGUGUCAGCACACUAACGACACAGGAACCGAAAUAAACAAAAAGAUGGCGAUGUUGAUGACGAAGACUUUGGGCAGCGUCAUGAACAGGCAGACAUGUGACUUUAUCUGCUCRGACGUGAUAGAAUGGGUCCUCUAACAAGCCACACCCCUGACGCCAUACCAGGAAACUAUGCUUUAGGACAAACACCACCAUCAUCAUAAUCUUCAUCAUCUUCACUUGCCUGCGAGGAAUAAGCGGCAGGAGAAUCUCUUAUAAGACCAGAAAACUGUAAACCUGAAAACAUUGGACUGUACAAACCUGCUCUUUCGCCGUGAACUGGUCAGACGAACAUGCUUUCUUACAACACUUUGGUUAGCGUCUCGCAAAAACAACGCAGAGAUCACUGAAGUUACCGUAYWKGACGACAYCUCGAUGGAUAUCUCCAAACUCACACGGCUAACACAACCGUAGGAUUCACAGGGGUUUGUAGAAAUAACCUACAAAACGAGUAAUAGUUAUUGAAAUGAUCCAUAAAUAACAAUGAGAUGUAUCACUUCUCUGGGCGGGGAACACAGGUAAACGCUGUACAUUCUGUGAAAAGUGAGGAAAACGUAUCAAAGUUKAUCUCAAAUGAGACAUUAUCCCCAACAUAAGGCAUUAUUUUMGACCAGGGCCACAUUUAGCCAGCUAGGCCUCUGGUCUAAAGAGGUGUGUCAAGUGAGACGUAGCCAUGUUGUUUUUCAGUGGAGGGGGAGGUACUGUAUCAGAAGCUUGCUUUUUAAACUGUUGUAAAUAACCGCGUAGCAAAACUGAAAUCACCUCUCUUUUUUAACCAUCUUAGGUAAUAAUUCAUUGCAAUAAUGAAUAUAACAAAAUGCCACUUGUAAUUAUGAAUACACCUUUUUCUAAAUACAUAUUAUAUACAGUACAAAUGAAUAUAUAUCUAUACAUCUACAGAGAGCUAUAGAACAUUAGAUUAUCACCAUUGAGUGAGGCCAUGACAUAUGUUCUGUUAAAGGGUGUUUUGAUAAUGAUAAAGAUUCAUUUCCACAGUCUUUGUGUGUCCUAAUCCACACUGAAUGUCAAUCUGACACUCACAAACACAUCCACAAACACACACACACACAUCACUUACACAGGGUCAACUCUUGCAGAGAUCUUCAGCAACACACAAGAUGCUCCUUUUUUUUUCUAGUUGUUUGUUCCCCAUUUUGUUUUAUUUUGUUGUUUUGUCCAUCAUUGAGAACAUAGCCUCUGUACGUACAAUAGUCCCAGAUCUUCUUUGUGUUUAAUCCUCUAGCCGUGUUCUUUUGUCUGACCGUCUUCUGUUUUAAAGGCUAUUACAGCAGUCUGGAGAGGCUAAGAGGGAAGGGAGAAAGAAAAAUAACAACAAAAUGAAGUACCAGACAUUUAGACUGAAAGAGUUCUAACUGAAUGGUGGAGUUUGGUGGCAUUGACAGCAGUUGCAGGGGUAGUAUUGCCUUGGKCCUGGACUUUUGAGCACUCUGUAUCUCCUCAUCUCUCCUCUCACUGAGAGGGUCACUGCACAGAGUCCUCUUGACCUAACCCCUGACAUUAAACCUUUGACCUUCUCUAGCUUUGACCUUUAGACUCUUAUAGGCACUGACARYACCAGUCAGCCUUUAAACUAUCACUCUGAGCCCUAGUCUUAUUCUCUCUCCCUCUCCUAACCCUCUAGAACUUACAAGACAUUUAGAUUAUUUCAUUUUUAUAUUUUUCAAUCUCCCACCAGAUGAACUAAAACCCAGACAGGCAAUCCUAUCUGUGUAUUMUUGAAGCAGACAUGUUGACUGCUGGCUGGCUACUAACCACUUCAGCGUUUUCUGGGUUUAACACAAUCUUUCUUUGUAUUUGGUUACGUUUUCUAGUAAAAUAUCAACCCCU